CGCUGGCGGCGUGCUUAACACAUGCAAGUCGAACGAACCUUCGGGUUAGUGGCGGACGGGUGAGUAACGCGUGGGAAUCUGCCCUCAGGAGGGGGAUAACGGCUGGAAACGGCCGCUAAUACCCCAUAUGCCGAGAGGUGAAAUGAAUUUCGCCUGAGGAUGAGCCCGCGUCUGAUUAGCUUGUUGGUGAGGUAAUGGCUCACCAAGGCUUCGAUCAGUAGCUGGUCUGAGAGGAUGAUCAGCCACACUGGGACUGAGACACGGCCCAGACUCCUACGGGAGGCAGCAGUGGGGAAUUUUCCGCAAUGGGCGAAAGCCUGACGGAGCAACGCCGCGUGAGGGAUGAAGGCCUCUGGGCUGUAAACCUCUUUUCUCAAGGAAGAAGAUCUGACGGUACUUGAGGAAUAAGCCACGGCUAAUUCCGUGCCAGCAGCCGCGGUAAUACGGGAGUGGCAAGCGUUAUCCGGAAUUAUUGGGCGUAAAGCGUCCGCAGGCGGCCUUUCAAGUCUGCUGUUAAAACGUGGAGCUUAACUCCAUCAAGGCAGUGGAAACUGUUGGGCUUGAGUGUGGUAGGGGCAGAGGGAAUUCCCGGUGUAGCGGUGAAAUGCGUAGAUAUCGGGAAGAACACCAGUGGCGAAGGCGCUCUGCUGGGCCAUAACUGACGCUCAUGGACGAAAGCCAGGGGAGCGAAAGGGAUUAGAUACCCCUGUAGUCCUGGCCGUAAACGAUGAACACUAGGUGUCGGGGGAAUCGACCCCCUCGGUGUCGUAGCCAACGCGUUAAGUGUUCCGCCUGGGGAGUACGCACGC
rnacentral:rRNA from 1 species